rnacentral:lncRNA from 13 species
GCUGGACUGGCUGGGAGGGGCCUGGCCCAGGAGGGGAGUUAGGAGAAGACCUGACUGUAAAUCCUCAGGCAAGCGCAGGUGGGGAGCCUCUGCGGGUCCCAGAGGCCAAGCCAGGGGGCAGUUUGGGGCAGGCAGGGGGGCUGGAGGGGAAGAGCAGGGGCUUGGCAAGGUGACCUCGACUUUCGGCAGCCUGGAUGCCAGCCUGCAGUGUGGGCGAGCCUGCAGCGUGGGAUAAAGAAGCAGCUUCCCGGGACACUCGCCGCGUUUCACCCUGGGCCCCCAGGGUCCCUGUGGUUUCCUGCGUUCAGUGCUGCUUAACAAAAGGGCCCCUGGAAGGUGUGUGCACAGCUUAAAAGAAACUCAGAAGACCGAGCCCCUUCCCAGAACCGGGAGCGUAGAGCUGGGACCUUUCCAACAGGAACCCUGCCAGGCGAGCUGUUGCUGGGAGACCCCCACACAGGCAGCCGCCUUGGGUAAGAGCUGAGCCCACCCAGAGCAGCCUGGCAGGAGAUCGGGAAAGAAAAGACCUGCCCUCACUCGCUCUUCUCCCACCUCCACCUCCUGCCAGUUCUUCCCUUUGCCAAACCUAAUCGGAAGGCAGAGGGCAAGGGAGGCCCCUGGCACCGCAUGGAGGCGGGAUCCCAGAACGCCCCGGCACAGAGUCACGGUGCCAAACUCCUCACCAGCAACAACUGAAGCUGGAAAUCACAGGACGGUGUCUUCAAAGUUCUGGGAAAAAUAGGAAGAAAAGAAGUUCAUGGGUCUGUGUGGCGGCAGAGGAAAAGUAAAAACCGAGCAACGACAAGGAAAUGAUCUUCAAAAAUCCUCCUACACCUUCAUAAGAAGACAGCUUCACCCUCGUUUCAUGCUCUUUCCCGGUAACCCUGCAUACCCUCCUGCAAGGAAGGGCCAUCCUUCGAGACCUUGGUGGACACGCAUGAGGCUGGCAGAGCUGCCUCCUCGCUAUGGCUCAGUUCCCCUCCACCUGCCUCUCACCCAGCUGCCCUGCGAGCUCUUUGUGCAGGGGUGUGAAAGUCAACCUCCUCUGUCUCCCGCGGGCCCCCAGGGCCGGCGGAGUCUGGACCGACUUAGAGAGCCCAUCCCUGCCCGUCAGUUGAGCGCUGUAGAGUUGGUGCAAACGCACUCUGGGCGUGGGCUGGUUUUGGGAAGGCUGGGUGCUCCUUUUCUGCAGGUGCGCUGGAGUUCCUGACAGUGACUGAUGCCUGCCAGGGCCUCCACGAGAGCUGUCAGGCACUGUGCAAGUGGAAGCAGCAUUGCGUGGAGAGCCGAGGUUCUGGGCUCCAGGGUGCUUAGCCUCCAGCCCAACACCAGCCCUGCUCCCAGGAGAGAGCCAGGCACAGAGGGGCUGCGCCCCUGCCGGCUUAAUGGGGGGUCACCUCACACUGCAUGACAGCAAGACGUGG